UUUAUACAAAAUAUCAAUUUACAACUCAAUAAUGUCGAUAAUCAUAAUAUAUUUGAUAGUUGAGUGAUAAAAAAAACUAAACAUAGACUCCGGUUUCAGUGGCGAUGGUGUGCUUUGUUCCGAUGGGGAUCGGAACACAAAGAAAGUUAGAUUCAAGGAAGGGGUGGAAGAGGAGACUGCUGUGAUGGCUGUAGAUCCAGAUCUGUCUCCAAAACUGUCGUGGAAGGAUAUGCUUUUGGGGGGAGAAGCUUCUCCCUCUGUAUCAGAUCGAAAUGGCUCCUCUGAGGGACGUGAAAACGAUUUUGAAUUACUGGAAGGGGACGUGAGUACGGCCAUGGUAGACGGGAUGCCUACUAUUGCUUUUUCGGAACGUAUUAAAAUUAUUCUUUUCAAAGAAAUGGAUUUAACGAUUGUUCUCAAGCUUUUAGGGCGUAAUAUCGGAUACAACUCUCUCCUCAACCGUAUCCUAGUCUUUGGAAACCUGCUAAUUCUUUUCAUCUUAAGUUUCAGGAUAUCGGCGAUUACAACAAAGUCUUAACCCAAGGCCCUUGGAUUAUCUACGGGCAAUAUCUUACCGUCCAACCGUGGACUAGGGAAUUUUAUCCAUUGCAGCCAUAUCCCAGUGUGGUGUUGGCUUGGAUCCGAUUGCCGGGGCUUCCGAGGUGAUGGUGGACAAUACCGUUCAACAACUUGAGUAUGAGGCUCUCCUGACGGUGUGUUUCUCAUGUGGCAAAUAUGACCAUGUUAAAGAGUUUUGUCCGACGGUUGUGGUAGAUCAAACCCGGGGGCAAUCUGCAAAUGUGGUGGUUGAGGCACAAGGAGACGUUGGCGGCAGAACCGAUGGUGAUAAGAGGCCAGAGUUUGGGCAGUGGAAAUGAUUCUUUUGGAUCUAGAUUUUCGGUGCUUAAUCAGGUUGGGGAUUUGGGGAGUGAUUUGAAGGUAUCUAAUGGAGAUUUUUCGCGGGAGAAAGUUAGGGAGAGAGGGGCUGUCGGUGAUGGGGGUCUUAAGAUUAGGGCUAAUAUAGGUGUUAAAAGGAAUUCUGGGCCUAAAUUUGAAGCAGGCCGUGGGAGUGCUACGGGCCAUGGAGCCCUUUUAGGGCCUGCUAAGAAUGUUUCUUUGUUAAAGAUUUGGGCCAGAAAUCUAAUUCUAGUUUGGAUAAAUUUUUGGGCAAAAGUCCUAUGGAAUUGGCGAAAAAUGGUAAGAGUAAUGAGGGCCCAGUUUUUAAAUCAAAUUCUAAUAUUUCUUUUUCUUGCGCACAUGUAGGUAGUGAGCAGGAAACUUCUAAAAUUACUGGAAUGGGCGUUGAAGGUGAUCAGCAAAAUUCUUUAAAUUUUGGUGCUUCCAAAAAUAUUAUUUCUGGUAAUUCAGAAAGGGUUAAGGCUCAUUUUAAUCCAGCUUUCGAAGUGUCCGAAUGAGUUGAAAUCCAAAUUUUCGAAAGUGUUCUAGAUCCCCGAAAAACAUUUUGCCGUGUCUUUUAAGAAAAAAUAUUAUUUCUGAUCAACAAGUUAAAUCUGGGAAUCGGUCAGUGGAGAAGCCGGGUUUGGUUUUAGUUUCAAGUUCGGGUGCGGACAAAUCCGGUUUUACAGAUAGAAAGGGUGGCAUAAGAAUUAACAAAAACCGUGUAGCCAUAAGAAUUCAAAUGCUUUUUGGGGACGAGGGAGUCGUUUUAAAUCUUCUGGUAGGGCACGGAUUCCUUUAACAGAGUCCAUGGAGGUGAUGGCGAAACUCCUUUCUACUCAAAAUCCCAAUCAAAAUGUUAAUGGUGAUUCGGGAGCCGUAGGUUUAACCAUUCAUGGGGAUUUAGUCCAUCAGCAGUAAUGGUAUGAUUCCUAAGCCUUUCGUUUUAUUAUUAUGAAUUUUACAAUUUUUUCUUGGAAUUGCUAGGGUUGUGCCAGUGUUAAUUUCCCUUGUUUGUUUGUUUGAGACAAGAGUCAGUGGAGCUAAAGCUGAUAGCAUUGUUGCAAAGUUAGGUUUCCAGUUCUCUCAUUGAGUAGAGGCAAUUGGUUACUUGGAGGUAUCUGGCUUAGUUGGAAAGAUUUCAUCCGUGUCGAGGUGGUUCGUAGUCAUCCUCAAUUUAUUUUGACUAAAGUUUGGCAAAUGUCCUCUACACGUUCGUUCUUUAUUUCUUUUGUCUAGCCAACUCCAAUCGGCAAAAACUUAAAAAUCUUUAGGAUGUCAUAAGGUCUUCGAUUUCGUCAGGUCAUAUUCCAUAGAUUGCUAUUGGUGACUUCAACGCAAUCCUUUAUUCUUCUAAAAAUUUUGGUGGUCUUACUAAUAGAAAGAGAUGUCCCCAGUUUGGAGAAUUUGUGGAGAAAGCCGAGCUGCAUGAUUUGGGUUUUAUAGGGCCUCCUUUUACUUGGAAUCGGGGUGCACUUUUUGAAAUGUUAGAUCGUGCGUUGGGUAAUAAAGCAUGAAUUCGUAAUUUCCCUAAUAGUUUGGUUACUCACUUACCUAAUAUCAAGUCUGACCACCGUCCUCUUCUUUUGAAUCAAAAUCCGAAUGUUAUUUUACCCAGAGGGAGACCCUUUCGAUUUUUGGAAGGUUGGACUGAACAUCUUGAUUUUGAUGAUUUUAUGAAUGACAAUUGGGUUGUCGCUGGAGACAUGGCUGAUUUCUUAUCCAAGCUUACUCUUAAUUUAAAAGAGUGUAAUAAACAGGUCUACGGGCAUAUCACUACCAAAAAGAGACACAUUGUUCUUAAAAUUGCUAAUGUUUAGAGAAUGAUGGAUCUUUCUGGUUCGAAUUGGUUAGCUCAGGUGGAUUUGAAUCUUAGACAGGAGCUUGAGAAUGUUUUACACCAUGAAGAACUCCUUUAAAAGCAAAAAGAGAGAUGUGAUUGGCUGUAUUUGUGAUUGGCUGUAUUUGGGUGAUCGUAACACAAAGUUCUUCCAUUCUUGAACUUUGCAAAGAAGGAAAAGCAACCGCAUAACUUCUAUUCAGAAUGACGAUGGGGAUUGAAUCUUUGACCUGGAGGCUAUUGAGGCUGAGGCGAAUACUUUUUCCCAAAAGCUCUAUGGGGAAUGUCUUGGUGAUAUUGGUGUUUUUCCUCCUAGUAAGUUUCCUCAGCUAAAGCGUGGUGAUAUUAAUUUUUUAAGGAAGUCGAUCACUAAUGAUGAAAUUAAGGAUGCCCUUUUUGAUAUGGCUCCUCUAAAAGCUUCGAAAAAGUAACGGGUUUCAUGCCCACUUUUUUCAGAAUCAGUGGAGUAAAAUUGGGCGGCAGUUUGUGAUUGGGUCAAAAAGGUGUUUAAUGGAGGUUUUAUUGAGGCUGAUUUGAAUAACACCCUGAUUGUUCUAAUUCCUAAUGUGGCGAAUCUAGACGGCUUUAGAUAGUUUUGUCCAAUAAGCCUCUAUUCUGUCAUUUAUAAACUGGUAAUGAAAGUACUUGCUAAUUGUUUUAAGCAUGUCUUCCCAAAAAUUAUUGCGCAGGAACCUAUUAUUAUUGCGCAGGAACAUAUUGGCUUUAUUGCAGACAGGAAUAUAACCGAUAACAUUAUCAUCGCUCAAGUGGUAAUUCAUUCCAUGAGACGUCAGAAAAAAAAGAAAAUGGAUGACGAUUAAAAUUGCUCUGGAGAAAGCCUAUGAUAGAGUAGAUAACUUUACUGAGAUACUCAAGAAUACCUGUUGCUUAGAGAGAGACAUGAAUAAAAUCUAUCUACUCUCUAAGCAACAGGUAUUCUUGAGUAUCUCAGUAAAGUUAUUAUAUCCUCUAUUUCAAAUUCUACUAUGCAGGUUAUGUAGAAUGGUGUUCUUUUGUCUAAAUUUAGACCUGCCAGAGGCAUCAGACAAGGGUGCUCGCUCUCUUCCUAUCUUUUUAUGCUUUGCAUGGAAUGGCUUGGUCAUUUGAUUCAUUCAACUAUUUCAGUGGAAAAGUGGAACCCAAUACAUAUGGGUCGCCUAUCUCACAUUUGUUCUUUACAGAUGACCUAGUUAUUUUCAGCAAAGCGGACUUGGUGCAUUGUAGGAUCAUAAAGGAUCAUAAAAGAUAUUCUGGAUUUGUUCUGUGGUUUUUGUGGGCAUCUUAUUAAUGCAAGGAAUAUUCUGGAUCGGUUCUGUGGUUUCUGUGGGCAUCUUAUUAAUGCAAGGAAGACCAACAUUUUUCUCUCUAAAGGGGUGGAUAUUUCUUUAACUAAUAUGAUCAGUUCUAUAUUUGGCUUUCAAAAAGUUCACGAUCUUGGGAUUUACCUUGGGGUUCCUCUUUUCCAUCAAAGGUUGACAAAUAGCACUAUAAAUUUUGUGGUUGAAAAGGCUUGGGGAAGCUACACAGUUGGGACUCCAAAAAAGUCUCCAUUGCUAGUCGUAUUUAUCUAGUUGGUUAUUUUAUCCAUCCCUAGCUAUUUUAUAUAAUCAAUGAUGAUUCUUAGGAAAAUUAGUGAUGAGAUUGAAAGUCUGGUGAAGCAGUUUAUUUGGGGAUCUUCGGACAACAGAAAGAAGAUGUUGCUUGUGGGGUGGAAUUCAUUUUGUCAACCAAAGUGGUGUGGUGGUCUAGGGUGGAAAAGACUUCAUGAUCAAAACAUAUCCUUUCUUUUGAAGCUAGGUAUCAAAACAUAUCCUUUCUUUUGAAGCUGGGUUUCAACAUUGUUUCUAACAAGGAUGUAGGAUUUGUCGGAUUGUAUUGCUCAGGACAUAAGUUUCUUUUUCUAAAGUUUGGCCGUUACUUCAUGAAAAUCUUUUAUGGCCCGUUGGAGAUGGAAAUAAAAUUUGAUGCUGGAGGGAUAAUUAGAUCCCAAGUGUAGGGCCUUUGUAUCAACAUAUUCCGAAUAAUGAUAACCAAGAUUCAGAUUGCUUCCUUAAUGAGAUGAUCACUGAGGACGAUUCGUGGAACCUUGAUCUUUUUUAGGUUUGGCUUUCGGAUAGUGUGAUUCAGCUUAUUAAGGGUAUUCUUCCUCCUCAUCCAUCUACUGGCUUUGAUAAAAUUUCUAUGAGCCACACUUUGGCUAGAGUUUUUCAGUCAAAACAACUUACAAGAUGUUAAAGGAUGGAAGAGCGUUUGGAAGUUUCCAGGUCUUCAACGGGUUCGAUUUUUUCAUUUGGACUGCUCUACAAGGAAGGCUCCUUAGUAAUGUGGAAUGGGUUAGAAGGGGUUUAGCAAUUGACCCUUCUUGCCCCACCUGUGGUUUCCAUUCAGAGGAUAUUUUACAUAUUUUGAGAGAUUGCGCUGUUUAUCAAAUUUAUUCUCUAAUAAUUCAUAAGAUUGGGCGAAUCAGCUCUUUUAAGCUCUUAGAGCAGAUUUUAAAGGCAGCUUUAAACCUCCCGUUGAAGAGGAAUCUUUUGAAGAUCUGAUUUUUCUUAUCAUUAAUGGCGUAGUGCAAUUAGAAUCUGGAAAUACAGCCACCGAAGGAAUUGUUCGUGAUGCUAAGUGAGAUUGGAUCUGGAGUCUAAAGUAGUGGUUUUUACGCCUUGAUUGGAACAUAUAUUUUACAAGUGUUUGAUGCUUCUCAUCCGAUGACGAGCACUUUAAUGGAAUUGGACAAGAAUAAGAAUGUUUUUCCUUUUCAAAAUACCUAUUAUUUAAUUAGUUUGGUAUUUCUUAUUUUCACCAAAAAAAUGUGUUAUUUACUUUUUUUGUUAAAUGGUUUAUGUAUUUAUUUUAA